rnacentral:rRNA from 2 species
AAACCAACAGGGAUUGCCCCAGUAACGGCGAGUGAAGCGGCAACAGCUCAAAUUUGAAAUCUGGUCCCCAGGGCCCGAGUUGUAAUUUGUAGAGGAUGCUUUUGGCGAGGCGCCUUCCGAGUUCCCUGGAACGGGACGCCACAGAGGGUGAGAGCCCCGUCUGGUCGGAUGCCAAGCCUAUGUAAAGCUCCUUCGACGAGUCGAGUAGUUUGGGAAUGCUGCUCAAAAUGGGAGGUAUAUGUCUUCUAAAGCUAAAUACCGGCCAGAGACCGAUAGCGCACAAGUAGAGUGAUCGAAAGAUGAAAAGCACUUUGAAAAGAGGGUUAAAAAGUACGUGAAAUUGUUGAAAGGGAAGCGCCUAUGACCAGACUUGGGCCCGGUGAAUCAUCCAGCGUUCUCGCUGGUGCACUUUGCCGGGCACAGGCCAGCAUCAGUUUGGCGCGGGGGAUAAAGGCUUCGGGAAUGUGGCUCCCCUCGGGGAGUGUUAUAGCCCGUUGUGUAAUACCCUGCGCCGGACUGAGGUACGCGCUCCGCAAGGAUGCUGGCGUAAUGGUCAUCAGCGAC